rnacentral:rRNA from 1 species
UACGAAGGGGGCUAGCGUUGCUCGGAAUCACUGGGCGUAAAGCGCACGUAGGCGGAUCUUUAAGUCAGGGGUGAAAUCCCAGAGCUCAACUCCGGAACUGCCUUUGAUACUGGGGAUCUUGGAGUCCGGGAGAGGUGAGUGGAACUGCGAGUGUAGAGGUGAAAUUCGUAGAUAUUCGCAAGAACACCAGUGGCGAAGGCGGCUCACUGGCCCGGUACUGACGCUGAGGUGCGAAAGCGUGGGGAGCAAACAGGG